rnacentral:rRNA from 1 species
CCAGAGAACUUAGCAGAGAUGCUUUGGUGCCUUCGGGAACUCUGAGACAGGUGCUGCAUGGCUGUCGUCAGCUCGUGUUGUGAAAUGUUGGGUUAAGUCCCGCAACGAGCGCAACCCUUGUCCUUUGUUGCCAGCGGCUCGGCCGGGAACUCAAAGGAGACUGCCGGUGAUAAACCGGAGGAAGGUGGGGAUGACGUCAAGUCAUCAUGGCCCUUACGGCCAGGGCUACACACGUGCUACAAUGGCGCAUACAAAGAGAAGCGACCUCGCGAGAGCAAGCGGACCUCAUAAAGUGCGUCGUAGUCCGGAUUGGAGUCUGCAACUCGACUCCAUGAAGUCGGAAUCGCUAGUAAUCGUAGAUCAGAAUGCUACGGUGAAUACGUUCCCGGGCCUUGUACACACCGCCCGUCACACCAUGGGAGUGGGUUGCAAAAGAAGUAGGUAGCUUAACCUUCGGGAGGGCGCUUACCACUUUGUGAUUCAUGACUGGGGUGAAGUCGUAACAAGGUAAGCGUAGCGAG